UGAGCUACGGAGGGAUCAGGCUUGCGGGA
rnacentral:piRNA from 1 species